CAAAAAUUUUUGGUGAAAUGGCGAGGCAAACCACAUUCCGAGAAUACAUGGAUUACGACAACGGAUUUUCAGAAGAUUAACCCCGAUCUCUAUGAAUUGUAUCAAGCAUCUAACUCGUCGGAGCCGAGUUCUUUCAAGCCGGGGAGAAUUGAUGGGGAAAAGCCUUUUAAAGUUUAUUCAAGGAAGAAAGGGAAGACCUAAGUAAACUUUAAGUAGGAUUAAUAUAAUUAGAAUUUGAGUCAUGAUAGGUUAUUAGAGUCCUAGUAGAAUAGGUUAUUAGAGUCCUAGUAGACUUUGGAUUUCUUAGAGAAGCCUAUAAAUAGGCUAAUCAAUGUAAAUCAAAGGAA